AGUGAACGCUGGCGGUAGGCCUAACACAUGCAAGUCGAACGGCAGCACAGUAAGAGCUUGCUCUUACGGGUGGCGAGUGGCGGACGGGUGAGGAAUACAUCGGAAUCUACUUUUUCGUUGGGGAUAACGUAGGGAAACUUACGCUAAUACCUCAUACGACCUACGGGUGAAAGCAGGGGAUCUUCGGACCUUGCGCGAUUGAAUGAGCCGAUGUCGGAUUAGCUAGUUGGCGGGGUAAAGGCCCACCAAGGCGACGAUCCGUAGCUGGUCUGAGAGGAUGAUCAGCCACACUGGAACUGAGAAACGGUCAAGACUCCUACGGGAGGCAGCAGUGGGGAAUAUUGGACAAUGGGCGCAAGCCUGAUCCAGCCAUACCGCGUGGGUGAAGAAGGCCUUCGGGUUGUAAAGCGCUUUUGUUGGGAAAGAAAAGCAGCAGGUUAAUACCCCGCUGUUCUGACGGUACCCAAAGAAUAAGCACCGGCUAACUUCGUG
rnacentral:rRNA from 1 species